AUAUUCCAGAAACCCGAUGCUGGCUCCCUCAUUUUCCAUAGACCUCAUCUUCAGUCCCUAAAGAAGAAAACGGUGACAAGAAAUCGGAAGUCCAAUGCAGUCUGUACUCUUCAUGGAUGAACUUCUCAUGUUAAGUGCAAGUAUUUAUAUGGUACAUGUCUGACAAAGGAAGCCUUCCUACAAUCAUUACUGAUUGGACAGCUCCUAUAGACAGCAUCAGUUUAUAAGUGUUUCCUUUCUGAUACACGUUACAGAAUACUGUAAAGAAAUUAUGAAAAUUAUAUUGAACAAAUCAAGAAGUGGUUCAAGUUUUUGAAAACCUCAAUUUAAAGUUUACAUAUUUUCAAAGUUGAAUAAUUUUACACUGGGGUGGGAAGUGAAGUAUAAAUAAACAUUUGCUUAAAGGUACUGAGUUGUGAUAAUUUUUCAUGGAAUGAGACUGUCAGGCAGUAGCAGUUAAAUUAAUAUAUACUGUACUUAAAAAAUUAAACACUUGAGAAAUAACCUUUUUAGCCACUGGAAAAUGGCAAAGUCUAAGACAUUUCAAUCAAGUUAAUUUGGGUAUUAGAGAAAUGCAUUUUCCCACCAGAAACUAUGUGAAGAAACAAAUUAAACAAAAUGGCCCUCCGGAUGCUCGGGUAGCCCUGGGCGAGGAGCGGCACCAUUGCUUGUCAAUUAGGUUAUUAUACACACACAUUCCCUCAUUUUAAAUCACGCCAAAGCUGAACGGUUGAAGGUAUAUCAAAAUGAAGCAUGACUUGCAAUUUAAAUGGUUUUUUGUUUCUUUGUUUUAACUUUCUUUUUACUCCUGGACAAAGGGUCCUGCUGGGUUUCUCAGGUUGGGCUGUCUAAUUUCUUAGCUCCAAAGAGCCUCCUGCCUCAGUCCCCUGCACAACAGCUGAGACUACAGGCUUGAACCCACUGUAGUAGCUUGAACCCACUGUAGCUUGAACCCACUGUAGCUUGAACCCACUGUAGUAGCUUGAACCCACUGUAGUAGCUUGAACCCACUGUAGUAGCUUGAACCCACUGUAGUAGGCUCAGAGUUUCUCUUUAACAAGCACUAACCUAGAGCAACUAGUCUAAUUCAGCUAUGUGUUCUAGGAUCUUUCCCUAGCUCACCCUGGCAUGCUAAAGUUCCUAGAACAAAAGUUCCUGAGCAGUCUUGGAAGUAGAAGAAGAGGCCAGGAGAACACUUUAACCAGCUCUGAAGUUACCUCAAAGACACCAGCAUGGAGACAGAUCAGUUUUUCUGGCCACACUAGCUGCAGGGCUCAGGCCCAGACUUCCCAAGGCAGGACAGUGGCAAUUUGGACAGGUUACUUAACUCCCUCACCCCACCCCAACUUCCGUUUCUUUUACUUGUCAAGGUCUAGCCUUGGACUGGGUCCCCAACAAAUAUGCAACAGACCCUGAGAGCUGCUCACAGCCCCACUACACUGCAGAAGGCAGGGAAGGCAGGCAGGCUGUCCUUUUGCUUUUGUUUUCAACAACACCUUGAGACUAAGAAACAACAGAAGUAACUUUAGGAUUGCCGUAGGAGCUGAGUGUUUCUGUUAAAUUAUUUAUUUUAUUUAUAUGAGUACACUGUCACUGACACAUCAGAAAAGGGCAUCAAAUACCAUUACAGAUGGUUGAGAUGAUGUGGUUGCUGGGAAUUGAACUCAGGGCCUCUGGAAGAGCAGUCAGUGCUCUUAACCACUGAGCCCUCUCUCCAGCAUGGAGCUGAGUUUUUAAGGGCUAGGUUAAAGCCCUUCAUCUAAAACCACCGAAUGUAGGCAGGCACAGGAGACCCGGUGACUUCAGUUUGGGCACAUAAAAUUUUCUACUAAAGAGAAAAUUCCUCUGACACCAGAGGGGGCAACUUUUUAAAAUAAGCAAUGUUAUAUAGAUCAGUAAUAUUUGAUUAGAUACUUCCUUAUAGUUGACCAGGCUCCAACAAGAAAGAUGAGUAGCAAAUCAGAAACACCACCAAAUGGGAAGUAGAUCUAACAUCCUGUUGCCUCUUGGUACAUUCUAUUGCCUGUUCAAAAUGGAGUCUCAUAAAGUCAGGUUACCUUGAAAUUCUUACAUUGAAAUGUUGGAAUUUAUAAUCAUGAGCCACCAAAUCUAACUUAGUAUCUUUUUCUCCUACAUGCUCAGUGGGCAAGAGCUUGUUGCUCUUGCAGAGGACCAGCACCCACAUGGUGGCUCACAACUGUCUGUAACUCCAAUUACUGGGGAUCUGACGCCCUCUUCUGGACUGCACAGGCACUGCAUUCAUAUAACAUACAUCCAUGCACUCAGGGCUGGGACUGCAGGCAAGUGCCAUGUGUCGCCUUGACCAGGACAUGGGAUGCUGGGGCUCAAAACCAAGAAUUCCUGCACAGCGGGCUGACGGCUGAGGCGGAAGGACGGUGAGCUCUAGGCCAGCCUGGACUACACAGUGAAGCCCAGCUUAAAAAAGAAAAAAACGGCCAGUGUCUUGGAGAAAACUGAGUUUCCAGCAGCUGGUACUCAUGUCCUUGUGACUCAGACAGCUUGGGCUCAUGAGCUCUACUCAGCUGACCUGUUGUAAUCGUCUGGGUAUAAAUUGUCUGAUGUUCUGAAUACGG
ensembl:antisense Bcas3os1 breast carcinoma amplified sequence 3, opposite strand 1